UAGCACCCGUGGCUGGGCUUCUCCUCUGCUAAUCCCAUCAAAACCCUACUUAUUUGUGCAUAUAUAGUAUUUUUCUGCCAACCACUUAAUAUUUUUUUUUCUUCCAACCGAAAACAAAAGCAGAAGGAAUACAAGAUGUUCCUCCCUGAAGUUUUAUGUAAAAUUCAAUACCUGGGCAUUUUCCUCCAAAGGAAAUUGUUUCUUCUAGCCACAUGAUCACCAGCUCAGCUACUAGGCUCUUUCUUAGCAAAUUGGACUCAACUUUCUCAGGGCACCCCUCACCGAACUGGAUAUAUGUAAAUCAUAAUAUGAACCAUGGUCUCAUUCUAUUCAGAGAAGAAAUAUUAAAUUAACAGAAGUGAUUCUAAAGGAUAACAGUGUAUGAGACCAUAACAACCUUGAAAACCGCUUCAUUUUCUGUGCAAAGAAGUCUUAUGAAUCUAUAUUUUAAAUUUACUGAAUCAGUGAAAUGACUUUGUAGGUUAAUUUGCAAAUGCAAGCUGUAGUCUCCAGUUUUAUUUUAUGUAUUGACACUAAUUGGUAAAGGUGUACAAUGUGAUUAGAAUGCAUUUUGAAGAUGCUUUCUGUACAGAUAUAAAAUACAGGGACUAAAAUAAUGCUGUGCAGUGUAUAGCAGAGCCAUUUUUCGGCUUUGGUGUACUCAACUUUUUCAGUAUUUAAAAAAAGUGUUUUGAAUAACAUAAAAGUCUCUUUAUUGUAUAAAUAAUAAAAUGUCACCUUAUUG